rnacentral:rRNA from 1 species
AACGCGAAGAACCUUACCAGGUCUUGACAUCCUUCUGAAUAUAGCUUAGCCGCUAUAGUCCUUCGGGACAGAAGAGACAGGUGGUGCAUGGUUGUCGUCAGCUCGUGUCGUGAGAUGUUGGGUUAAGUCCCGCAACGAGCGCAACCCUUAUGUUUAGUUGUUAACAGGUUAAGCUGAACCCUCUAGACAGACUGCCGAGGAUAACUCGGAGGAAGGCGGGGAUGACGUCAAAUCAUCAUGCCCCUUAUGAUCUGGGCUACACACGUGCUACAAUGGCUGGUACAACGGGCAGCGAAAGAGCGAUCUGGAGCGAAUCCUAAAAAGCCAGUCCCAGUUCGGAUUGUAGGCUGAAACUCGCCUACAUGAAGUUGGAGUUGCUAGUAAUCGCGGAUCAGAAUGCCGCGGUGAAUGCGUUCCCGGGUCUUGUACACACGC